CUGCUGCCUUCCGUAGGAGUUUGGGCCGUGUCUCAGUCCCAAUGUGGCCGGUCACCCUCUCAGGUCGGCUACUGAUCGUCGCCUUGGUGAGCCGUUACCUCUCCAACUAGCUAAUCAGACGCGGGUCCAUCUCAUACCACCGGAGUUUUUCACACCAAACCAUGCGGUCUUGUGCGCUUAUGCGGUUUUAGCAGUCAUUUCUAACUGUUAUCCCUCUGUAUGAGGCAGGUUACCCACGCGUUACUCACCCGUCCG
rnacentral:rRNA from 1 species